AUUGAACGCUGGCGGCAGGCCUAACACAUGCAAGUCGAGCGAGCGGCGGACGGGUGAGUAAUGUAUGGGGACUGCCCGAUAGCGGGGGAUCACUACUGGAAACGGUAGCUAAUACCGCAUACUAUCCUAUAACCCACAUGGGAUUAGCUAGUAGGGGAGUUAAUGGCUCACCUAGGCGACGAUACCUAGCUGUGCUGAGAGGAUGAUCAGCCCCACUGGGACUGAGACACGGCCCAGACUCCUACGGAGGCAGCAGUGGGGAAUAUUGCACAAUGGGCGCAAGCCGGAUGCAGCCAUGCCGCGUGUAUGAAGAAGGCCCUAGGGUUGUAAAGUACUUUCAGUCGGGAGGCGUUACCGACAGAAGAAGCACCGGCUAACUCCGUGCCAACAGCCGCGGUAAUAC
rnacentral:rRNA from 1 species